rnacentral:miRNA from 1 species
GGGGGUUUUUGGAUACGCAGAA